AGAGUUUGAUCCUGGCUCAGAUUGAACGCUGGCGGCAGGCCUAACACAUGCAAGUCGAACGGUAACAGGAAACAGCUUGCUGUUUCACUGACGAGUGGCGGACGGGUGAGUAAUGUCUGGGAAACUGCCUGAUGGAGGGGGAUAACUACUGGAAACGGUAGCUAAUACCGCAUAACGUCGCAAGACCAAAGAGGGGGACCUUCGGGCCUCUUGCCAUCGGAUGUGCCCAGAUGGGAUUAGCUAGUAGGUGGGGUAACGGCUCACCUAGGCGACGAUCCCUAGCUGGUCUGAGAGGAUGACCAGCCACACUGGAACUGAGACACGGUCCAGACUCCUACGGGAGGCAGCAGUGGGGAAUAUUGCACAAUGGGCGCAAGCCUGAUGCAGCCAUGCCGCGUGUAUGAAGAAGGCCUUCGGGUUGUAAAGUACUUUCAGCGGGGAGGAAGGGAGUAAAGUUAAU
rnacentral:rRNA from 1 species